GACGAACGCUGGCGGCGUGCCUAAUACAUGCAAGUAGAACGCACAGUUUAUACCGUAGCUUGCUACACCAUAGACUGUGAGUUGCGAACGGGUGAGUAACGCGUAGGUAACCUGCCUGGUAGCGGGGGAUAACUAUUGGAAACGAUAGCUAAUACCGCAUAAUAUUGAUUAUUGCAUGAUAAUUGAUUGAAAGAUGCUAUUGCAUCACUACCAGAUGGACCUGCGUUGUAUUAGCUAGUAGGUGAGGUAACGGCUCACCUAGGCGACGAUACAUAGCCGACCUGAGAGGGUGAUCGGCCACACUGGGACUGGGGCACGGCCCAGACUCCUACGGGAGGCAGCAGUAGGGAAUCUUCGGCAAUGGACGAAAGUCUGACCGAGCAACGCCGCGUGAGUGAAGAAGGGUUUCGGAUCGUAAAGCUCUGUUGUAAGAGAAGAACGGGUGUGAGAGUGGAAAGUUCACACUGUGACGGUAUCUUACCAGAAAGGGACGGCUAACUACGUG
rnacentral:rRNA from 1 species